UACGUAGGGAGCAAGCGUUGUCCGGAAUCAUUGGGCGUAAAGCGCGCGUAGGUGGCCCCAUAAGUCCGCUGUGAAAGUCAAAGGCUCAACCUUUGAAAGCCGGUGGAUACUGUGGGACUAGAGUACGGAAGUGGCGAGUGGAAUUCCUGGUGUAGCGGUGGAAUGCGCAGAUAUCAGGAGGAACACCAAUAGCGAAGGCAGCUCGCUGGGACGUUACUGACACUGAGGCGCGAAAGCGUGGGGAGCGAACAGG
rnacentral:rRNA from 1 species